GUGGGGAAUAUUGGACAAUGGGGGGAACCCUGAUCCAGCCAUGCCGCGUGUGUGAAGAAGGCCUUUUGGUUGUAAAGCACUUUAAGCGAGGAGGAGGCUACCGAGAUUAAUACUCUUGGAUAGUGGACGUUACUCGCAGAAUAAGCACCGGCUAACUCUGUGCCAGCAGCCGCGGUAAUACAGAGGGUGCAAGCGUUAAUCGGAUUUACUGGGCGUAAAGCGCGCGUAGGUGGCCAAUUAAGUCAAAUGUGAAAUCCCCGAGCUUAACUUGGGAAUUGCAUUCGAUACUGGUUGGCUAGAGUAUGGGAGAGGAUGGUAGAAUUCCAGGUGUAGCGGUGAAAUGAGUAGAGAUCGGGAGGAAUACCGAUGGCGAAGGCAGCCAUCUGGCCUAAUACUGACACUGAGGUGCGAAAGCAUGGGGAGCAAACAGGAUUAGAUACCCGGGUAGUCC
rnacentral:rRNA from 1 species